rnacentral:rRNA from 1 species
GACGAACGCUGGCGGCGUGCUUAACACAUGCAAGUCGAAUGGAAAGGCCCUGCUUUUGUGGGGUGCUCGAGUGGCGAACGGGUGAGUAACACGUGAGUAACCUGCCCUUGACUUUGGGAUAACUUCAGGAAACUGGGGCUAAUACCGGAUAGGAGCUCCUGCUGCAUGGUGGGGGUUGGAAAGUUUCGGCGGUUGGGGAUGGACUCGCGGCUUAUCAGCUUGUUGGUGGGGUAGUGGCUUACCAAGGCUUUGACGGGUAGCCGGCCUGAGAGGGUGACCGGCCACAUUGGGACUGAGAUACGGCCCAGACUCCUACGGGAGGCAGCAGUGGGGAAUAUUGCACAAUGGGCGGAAGCCUGAUGCAGCAACGCCGCGUGCGGGAUGACGGCCUUCGGGUUGUAAACCGCUUUCGCCUGUGACGAAGCGUGAGUGACGGUAAUGGGUAAAGAAGCACCGGCUAACUACGUA